rnacentral:rRNA from 1 species
GGCGAACGCUGGCGGCGUGCCUAAUACAUGCAAGUAGAACGCUGAAGAGAGGAGCUUGCUCUUCUUGAAUGAGUUGCGAACGGGUGAGUAACGCGUAGGUAACCUGCCUUGUAGCGGGGGAUAACUAUUGGAAACGAUAGCUAAUACCGCAUAACAAUGGGUGACACAUGUCAUUUAUUUGAAAGGGGCAAUUGCUCCACUACAAGAUGGACCUGCGUUGUAUUAGCUAGUAGGUGAGGUAACGGCUCACCUAGGCGACGAUACAUAGCCGACCUGAGAGGGUGAUCGGCCACACUGGGACUGAGACACGGCCCAGACUCCUACGGGAGGCAGCAGUAGGGAAUCUUCGGCAAUGGGGGCAACCCUGACCGAGCAACGCCGCGUGAGUGAAGAAGGUUUUCGGAUCGUAAGGCUCUGUUGUAAGUCAAGAAUGAGUGUGAGAGUGGAAAGUUCACACUGUGACGGUAGCUUACCAGAAAGGGACGGCUAACUACGUGC